UUUCUCUCGCCACGUUAACAUUUUGCUUCUUGACUGCUUGUUAUGCUGGUUAUAAAGAAAAUAUACUUAGGCAAGAGUCCUGGUCAAAACACAAAGACACGACGGAGUUUUCUAGUGAAAAUUUAGGGCUCCAUUACUUCUUUCUAUACGACCUUGAUGAAAACAAAAAGUUAGAUGGUAACGAACUGAUACUACUCUUAGAGGAAAAAGCUGAUUUAGCUAAAAGAGAUGAUGACUAUAUGAUUUCUUAUGUUGAAGGGAUUCUAGAUCAAGUUGAUAAGAAUGGGGAUGGCUACAUAGACUUGGAAGAAUAUACAACUUAUAAUAAUAAACUCGGAAGUUC